rnacentral:rRNA from 1 species
GAGGUUUGAUCCUGGCUCAGGACGAACGCUGGCGGCGCGCCUAACACAUGCAAGUCGAACGAGAGAGAAGGAGCUUGCUUCUUCGAUCGAGUGGCGAACGGGUGAGUAACGCGUGAGGAACCUGCCUCAAAGAGGGGGACAACAGUUGGAAACGACUGCUAAUACCGCAUAAGCCCACGGGUCGGCAUCGACCAGAGGGAAAAGGAGCAAUCCGCUUUGAGGUGGCCUCGCGUCCGAUUAGCUAGUUGGUGAGGUAAUGGCCCACCAAGGCGACGAUCGGUAGCCGGACUGAGAGGUUGAACGGCCACAUUGGGACUGAGACACGGCCCAGACUCCUACGGGAGGCAGCAGUGGGGAAUAUUGCACAAUGGGGGAAACCCUGAUGCAGCGACGCCGCGUGAGUGAAGAGGUAUUUCGGUAUGUAAAGCUCUAUCAGCAGGGAAGAAAGUGACGGUACCUGAAUAAGAAGCCCCGGCUAACUACGUGCCAGCCGCCGCGGUAAUUC